rnacentral:rRNA from 1 species
GUGGAUGUGGUGUUGUGGGCUGAAACUAACGCUUCUUAGAGAAAAACAGAACUCCUUUGGAAAAAGGGGCCACAGAGGGUGAUAGCCCCGUAUGUGAAAUUUCUAAAUGCUAUAAGUUUCAGAUCCCAGACUAGGGCGCAUUGGGAAUUGCGUCCAAACUUCGAGAACAAACUCGAAAACCUAAAUAUUAAUGUCAGACCGAUAGAGCACUAGUAACGUGAGUGAAAGGUGAAAAGCAGCGUUAAACCGCAGUGAAAAGAGCUUGAAAUUAUGUUGUUAAAGAGUGUCAUGGCGUGAAAGGAUAGAGACUUUACGAACCCAAAAUCGGUGACGAUUGAACGGGAGUAAAGUUUACCGGCGUCAUGGCGUCAGUCUUGAAACACUGGCCAGGGAGUUUAUUUGAGUGGUGAGAUUAAGGUUAUAUUGAAGUCAUAGGGAAACCAACCAGUCCGCAGCACAGUAAUGUGUGAGGGACGACGUCUGAAAGGGCGUGAAAUCACUCGGGUAAGAUGCGAAAGGAGGCGAUCUACGCGUGGCCAGGUUGAAGCCGUGGGAAACCGCGGUGGAGGACCGAACCGUUAUUGAUAUACAACUCAUUCGGGUGAGCUACGUGUCGGAGUCAAAGGCUAAUCGAGCCUCCUGAUAGCACAUUAAAACCAAAGUGGAGCCGCAGUCCAGCGUUGGGCGAGUAAGAAUUGAAGGUAGAGUACAGACAGUGUCGGAAUGGAGCUUAAACGCUUCGCCACACCAUCUAACUCCGAAUGUCAAUUCUAUGUAGACCCCAGCAGUCGGGUGUAUCGCCGUAAGGGUGAUCACCGCGAAGCGAAUAAGCUAGAUUUGGGUUAAGGGCCCUAAAUGUCAGUUAAGUGUAAAAAUGAAGGGCGUCGUAUCGCAAAGACAAUGUGAUGGUAAGCUUAGAAACAGCUACCCAUUAAAAAGUACGUACUAGUUUACACAUCGAGCGAUACGGCCCUGAAAAUGGACGGGGCUAAAACUGACUCCCGAUACCCAUAGGCAUACCAGUAGGUAUGAUUCAGUAGAUUUUCGAUCGGCGAGGAGCGAAGCAGGUUGGUGAUGACCUGUGGACCUCGCUGAUGUGCAGAUCCUGGUAGUAGUAGGCAGAUUAUAAGGGUGAGAACCCCUUAGAUCGAAAAGGCAAGGGUUCCUGGGCAACGUCAAUCGGCCCAGGGUAAGUCGGUCCUAAGCGUAGCCUUAAUAUGGUUAUCGCAAAAGGGAAACAGGUUCAUAUUCCUGUACCACGCAUAGAAACCGGUAACGAUAGGAUGAUAUCAGACGCUUGUAGAUAGACUUUGUUGGCUUACCUGCCAACCUAAGUGUAUACAUCCAGGGAGUAGCGUUGUGCUGAGAACUGGAUAAAAUUACGAAUGGCCCGACAAUAGUGUGGGGUAAAGUUGAUUUCUAAAAGCCCUUGAAAAUGAUUUCAUCUAAUACUGCGUGUCCGUACCUAAACCGACACGGGUGUCCUUAGGCUUAGAAAGCUAAGAUUUUUUGGAGUAAUGUAGGCAAGGGAAUUCGGCAAAUUAGGCGAGUAACUUAGGGAUAAUCGCUGCCUUUACAUGUUCACGCGUGCGAAGGUGUCACUAACACAGGGAACCCGACUGUUUAACAAAAACAUAGCAAACUGCUACGCUGAAACGCUUUGUAUAGUUUGUGAAUCCUGCUCAGUGCUGGUAAGUCAAAUCCGGGUUCAACCGGGCUAAGCUCCAGUUAACAGCGGGAGUAACCAUGACUCUCUUAAGGUAGGCAAAUGCCUUGUCGGAUAAUUACCGACGUCCAUGAAGGGACCAACGAGGUUCCCACUGUCCCUGCCUAGAAUCCAGUGAACCUGCGGUCCGGCGAACAGACCGGACGGCCCCGACGGGAAGAGAAGACCCUGAGAGCUUUACUGUAGCUUCCAGUUGUCUAUUCGGUAUUCGUACAGAGCGUAGUCAGGAGACUUUGAAGCCGCAUCCCCGGGUGCAGUGGAGUCGACCUUGGAACACUGACUUCGAUUGUUGGAUAGGCUCACCUGUUGCGACGGGGACACCUGGUGGUGGACAGUUUGGCUGGGGCGGCACGCCUCCGAUAAGGAAACAGAGGCGCCCAAUGGUCGACUCAGGAGAGUCAGAAAUUCUCCGUAGAGUGCAAGGGCAUAAGUCGGCUUUACUGUGAACACUCCAAUAAUGUUCGCUGUUAGGAAACUAGGGCCUAGCGAUCCAUCCAAUUGCUUUUUGUUGGCGUGGGUGGUGGCAGAAAAGUUACCUCAGGGGUAACAGAGUUGUCGCGGGCUAAAGUCCACAUGAUUGGUAUUAUCAUAAUACCAUCAGUGACGAUUGUAGCAAAUAACUAUUACCCAUCGGAUUUAUCCGAUGAACUUUUCUGGAAAAAAAAACAUCUGUUUGUGCUUAUCGAGGGUCUUUGUAGAAUAUGUCAAUUUUUGUAUAGUGUAGCCAAACUACCUGUGCAAAAGAUAUAUUCGGUUUCAAAACCAAAUACAGAGAUCUUUCGCCACAAAACACAAGUUAU